AACAAGGCGUACCUGCGGACCUGCGGAGGGAUCAUUACGAGAGUGUCACCACUCCCAACCCAUUGUUUACCUACCCGUCCACCGUGCUUCGGCAGGCAGCCCUGUGGGACAGAGCCUCGCCCCCCUCCGCGGGGGGGUGCCUGCCGCUGGCCAACCAACAACUCUAGCUGUUUUAGUACCAUCUGAGUCUUCCACAAAUGAACAAAACUUUCAGCAAUGGAUCUCAGAUCGGAAGAGCAC
rnacentral:misc_RNA from 1 species